rnacentral:rRNA from 1 species
GACGUAGGGGGCCAGCGUUGUUCGGAAUUACUGGGUGUAAAGGGCGCGUAGGCGGUUUUUUAAGUGAGGCGUGAAAGCCCUGGGCUUAACCCAGGAGGUGCGUUUCAUACUGGAAAGCUUGAGUGCGAGAGAGGAAAGUGGAAUUCCUAGUGUAGAGGUGAAAUUCGUAGAUAUUAGGAAGAACACCAGAGGCGAAGGCGGCUUUCUGGCUCGCAACUGACGCUGAGGCGCGAAAGCGUGGGGAGCAAACAGG